AGUGAACGUUGGCGGCGUGGAUUAGGCAUGCGAGUCGAGCGAGAACCGUAGCAAUACGGGGACAGCGGCGAAAGGGACAGUAAUAUGUAGGUACCUACCCUCGGGUCCGGGAUAGCUGCGGGAAACUGCAGGUAAUACCGGAUGACAUCUCCGGAUCAAAGGUGUGAUUCCGCCCGGGGAGGGGCCUGCAUGCUAUUAGCUUGUUGGUGGGGUAACGGCCGACCAAGGCGACGAUGGGUAGCGGGUGUGAGAGCAUGACCCGCGUCAUUGGGACUGAGACACUGCCCAGACACCUACGGGUGGAUGCAGUCGAGAAUCUUCGGCAAUGGGGGCAACCCUGACCGAGCGACGCCGCGUGCGGGAUGAAGGCCUUCGGGUUGUAAACCGCUGUCGUAGAGGAGGAAAUGCAGUGGGGUUCUCCCCUCUGUUUGACCUAUUCUAGGAGGAAGGACGGGCUAAGUUCGUGCCAGCCGCCGCCGUAA
rnacentral:rRNA from 1 species